AUGACGAUAAUGACGGUUCGAGGCAGAGGCACAAUGAGUUGCUGGACAUGGUGCACUCUUUCAGCAGAAGUUUCAAGUUCUAAAGGAGAUUGAUGUACCGAACACAGCUCUCCACCACAAGGGGGAUGGCUUGGCCUGAAUCCUGAAAAAUCAAACAAAGAAUGAUCCAUUUGGUCUGCUUAUGGAACAAGGAAGACAACAGAAUCUGUUGUUUUCUACACCAGGUCUGAAAUACGAAGAAAGAGCACACACAUGGAUACUGUUUACAAGCUCAGAGGGAAAUCCAUUGUUGACAAAUUACCCAAAGGGACAUGUUCAUUGAUCUGAGAACUCCAGUUAAAGUCACUUAAAGUGAAUAUGUGAAUGUCUUGCAGACAUACUGCCUGACGUAUAGGACAGCCUUGUAUACUGAACACAGGCUAUUUCAACACAAUGUAAUUUAUCCUACAGUACUACAGUAUAAAAUCUGUAUGUGAUGGGGCUUCUGAAUACUAUUCAGUUUAUUCAUUAAAUUAUUGAAAGUCUUAUGUGUACAAAAGAAGCCCAGUUUGAUCUUUAGAAGAGAUGAACAAUAUUGUUUAUUGAAGGAGGUAAUCCAUUAUAUGCAGUUACAAAAAAGACUCACAAGCUGUUGACAUGCAAAUGUGCCAAAAUCUCAUGCAAUUAUUUGAGUUGCACCAUUUCAUUGCAUUAAUUUUGACAAUGUCUGCCUGUUUGUUUUUCUAUUAGCACAUUGAAAUACACACAUUGAAUAACCUAAAGAGUUUCUAUUGCAGGUGGUGUCUGGUGAUGCUAUAAUUAUCUGUGCACUGUCGGAAAUGAGCAGGACUGCAUUAAAAAAACAAACCAAAAAAAAGUUUAAAUAAAUGGAUAAUUGGAUCUGGUGGAACCCCGACUCAUCCAAAACCCAGUGGGUUGGCAGACUGGAGGACCUCCUAGGUGGUCUCAAAGAACAAGAUUGGUGCCUUAUGUACAGGGAGUUUGGACAUAAGGUGGUUUGCUUCCCACUCCAAGAGGAAGAAGAGGAGCUGCCUGCCUGAAGGCUGGAGAAGACCAAACUGCCUGCCCGAAAACAAAAGAAGGGAAGGCGAGGAAAGGAACCGGUGCCAUCUUCAGGGCCAGAGAGGGAGGUGCUGUCUGCCCGAGUGCCAGGGGGAGGGGCUGCCAGCCAGAGUACUAGAGGGAAGAGCCACUGCCGUCUCCAGAGCCAAAGGGGGAGGAGUUGCUGUCACCCUGAAAGCCAAAAGGGGAGGGGCCUCUGAUGUCUCCAGUGCCAAAGGGGGAGGGUCUGUUGCCGUCUCCAGUGCAGAAGGGGGAGGAGUCUGGCGCAGUGUCGCCACUGCUGGAGUGAACCCCUCGAUAGAAAAGCCCAGUGGGGAAAAGUCAAUCGGGCUUAAGGGUAGAAAGGGUGUUAAAACGGUCACCUCCGCACAGGAGCCCAGAGAUCACCAAGGAGGCUAAACGAGGACCCCCUUACAGACGCUCGACCUCACAACCCGCCCGCCAACCCACCACGAAAGCCCUUAAUGUAUAUAGUCUGUGUGUGCAGGAAUGUAAGGUUGUUAGGGAUACGGUUAAAUCUAUCCCUGCCAGCAAUCACAGGUGUAGCCAUUCCCCAAUUUGGUAAUUGUUGCUAACUGGGUAGUAACCACAUGUAUAAGGAACCAGAAAUCAUUUGUUUGUUGAAAGAGUUUGUGCUGUGAGUUUUGUAUGGUUUUGCAACUUGAUAGUGAAGGCUAAUGCUCAGCCUCAAGCAUGUAUUCUGUUUUUGUUUCAACCUUUUAUUUUGGCCCUCGUAUCGUGUUUUGUUUGGUCCUGUUUUUGUUUUUGUUUCUGUUAAAUAAAUUUGCGCACCAAACUGCAGCUUUCUGUCUCUGGGUAUAAUUACUGUAGGUAACCAGCCUGGGCCAUGACGCUACCCUAUCACAGCACAUAUUUGGUACAUGAGGGGAAAAGGUAAUGCUGAGGCUGUACUGC